UACCUCAGUAACGGCGAGUGAAGCGGUAACAGCUCAAAUUUGAAAUCUGGGUCUUUUAGGCUCCGAGUUGUAAUUUGUAGAAGAUGCUUCGGGUGCGGCGCCGGUCUAAGUCCCUUGGAACAGGGCGUCACAGAGGGUGAGAAUCCCGUAUGUGAUCGGUUGCCUGUGCCCGUGUGAAGCUCUUUCGACGAGUCGAGUUGUUUGGGAAUGCAGCUCUAAAUGGGUGGUAAAUUUCAUCUAAAGCUAAAUAUUGGCCAGAGACCGAUAGCGCACAAGUAGAGUGAUCGAAAGAUGAAAAGCACUUUGGAAAGAGAGUUAAACAGUACGUGAAAUUGUUGAAAGGGAAGCGCUUGCAACCAGACUUGCGCGUUGUCGAUCAUCCGGGGUUCUCCCCGGUGCACUCGACCUCGCUCAGGCCAGCAUCGGUUUCGGUGGUUGGAUAAAGGCCUUGGGAAUGUAGCUUCCUUCGGGGAGUGUUAUAGCCCUCGGUGCAAUGCAGCCUACCGGGACCGAGGACCGCGCUUCGGCUAGGAUGCUGGCGUAAUGGUUGUAAGCGACCCGUCUUGAAACACGGACCAAGGAGUCUAACAUCUAUGCGAGUGUUUGGGUGUCAAACCCAUACGCGUAAUGAAAGUGAACGGAGGUGAGAACCCUUAAGGGUGCAUCAUCGACCGAUCCUGAUGUCUUCGGAUGGAUUUGAGUAAGAGCAUAGCUGUUGGGACCCGAAAGAUGGUGAACUAUGCCUGAAUAGGGUGAAGCCAGAGGAAACUCUGGUGGAGGCUCGCAGCGGUUCUGACGUGCAAAUCGAUCGUCAAAUUUGGGUAUAGGGGCGAAAGACUAAUCGACC
rnacentral:rRNA from 1 species